AGCAGAGCUCUAGAGGAAUCUCAUUGCAGCUGGAGAGGCUGGUCAAGUCAUAACAGGAAAAUAUUGCUGGCUGUGAAGAUUCCCAGAUUGCCUGCUGAAGGGGUUUUGAAGUGUUUAGGGCUUCACACGUGGCUUGUUUGCUGCUCAGUUCCUUCCCGUGUCCAGCUUCCCUCCUUGCCAGCAUUUCCAGCCAUGGAGAUGACACCUGAUGCUGAGCUGAUCAAUGGCUGGUUUCCUUCCUCUCAACUCAGCCGGUCCCACACACACCACAGUCGGCUUUGCAGAUGUUCCCACUUGUUUUCACGGGAUAUUUGAAAACAUUUCAAAUCCACCAGUGACUGAAUGAAAAUAAUUCAUGCCUGAGCUGUAGAAUUGCAUCGCCUUCUUUAAAACUUUGCUGCCACCUCAAGUACAUAAAGGCCAGAGGAAGUGAAGUAUCUCAGUAAAAUACACCACUGUCCUGGAACAGGAGUUCACAGCCUUUUUGGUCUGGUGUGCCAACUCUCAGCCUUUCAAACUGCAGCUUCACAGGCGAUGCCAUCUCCUCUGCACCCCACAUGUUGCUGGAGGUGGUUCAAAGGCAUAUGGGGAGUGAGAGCCUGUUACAGGCAGCAGACAGCACAGCUUCUGCUGAAGGCCAGACACAAUCCAGCUGAGAGCCUGUGAUCUCUGGAUGAAGUCAAAGCUGUGCCUGCUUAGCCCAGCGCUCUGCCAGCCUUGGCAACUCCCACAGGCAAGCACAGAGUCACAGCCAUCGUCUGGGAGCUAUUGGCCGAGCAGCACCCAUUGCUUUAUUAUUUCUUGUAGUACAUAAGGAAACAGACCUCCCAGUUUACCCCUGUGGGGCCCUGUGAAGAUUCCUGCUCCUCAAGCAACAGUAGCUGUUGCCAGAGGAUGUGCUUGUGCUGAGGCUCCACACAGCUGCGGGGUGCUGCAGAAGGGC
rnacentral:lncRNA from 1 species